CCUACGGGAGGCAGCAGUGAGGAAUAUUGGUCAAUGGGCGCGAGCCUGAACCAGCCAAGUCGCGUGAGGGAAGACGGUCCUAUGGAUUGUAAACCUCUUUUGUCGGGGAGCAAAAGACACCACGCGUGGCCUUCCGCGUUUACCCUACGAACAAGCAUCGGCAAACUCCGUGCCAGCAGCCGCGGUAAUACGGGGGAUGCGAGCGUUAUCCGGAUUUAUUGGGUUUAAGGGGUUCGCAGGCGGAAGAUCAAGUCAGCGGUAAAAUUGAGAGGCUCAACCUCUGCGAGCCGUUGAAAAUGGUAGGCUUGAGUGAGUGAGAAGUAUGAGGAAUGCGUGGUGUAGCGGUGAAAUGCAUAGAUAUCACGCAGAACUCCGAUUGCGAAGGCAGCAUACCGGAGCUCAACUGACGCUCAUGCACGAAAGUGUGGGUAUCGAACAGGAUUAGAUACCCUUGUAGUC
rnacentral:rRNA from 1 species